rnacentral:lncRNA from 1 species
UACUUGUUCCACAAGGCUCGAUCCCCCAGCCACUAAGUGGCCUUCUGAGAAGUUGUAAAGAGGCUGCCCUUGCUGCUCCUGAGGACCUGGGGGGAAAGGAAAUUAUUCCAAGGUCUUUCCUAACUCCAAAAAGUUUCUCCUUUUCUUGGAUCUGUCAAGAGAGCUUUUCCUAAGUUGCUACCCCACAUCUCCUCCCUGUCACCUCUGGCACUUGAGCAAGCCCAGCUGUGCUGGAAUUCCAUCAGCUUCCUCUCCUAGCCCGCUGGGCUGGAUGGCAUGGACUGUUUGCUGACUCUGCCCACCUGGGACAGGGGAAGGGGGAAUGUCGAGUUCUCCAGGCCCUUCCUCCUGUUCUCAGGGGACUUCCCGCUUCUCCUCAGCCUUUGUUCCUAGCUGCACUUAAAUGGACCAUGGAUGGACUAAGGGUGUUAGAGGGGAAGUUUGGUAAGGAGACACACAGGUACUGUGAAAGUCCUUCUGCUGUCCCCCGGUGGGAGGGAGCUGGGUUUGGAAAUGUGAGAACAGCACAAUAAACUUGAUAACUAGGGCAGUGGCCCCCGC